UACGGAGGGUGCGAGCGUUGUCCGGAAUCACUGGGCGUAAAGGGCGCGUAGGUGGCCUGUGGAAGUCUGCGGUGAAAGCCCGGCGCUCAACGCCGGGUCUGCCGUGGAUACUCUCGGGCUUGAGCUUACUAGAGGCAGAUGGAAUUCCGGGUGUAGCGGUGGAAUGCGUAGAUAUCAGGAGGAACACCGAUGGCGAAGGCAGGUCUCUGGGCCACUACUGACGCUGAGAAGCGAAAAGCAUGGGGGAGCGAAACAGGG
rnacentral:rRNA from 1 species